UAAACCGAAUAUUUGGUACACAAAAUAGAAAAGCCCUCAUCUCUUAUUUACCCAAAUCCACUUGGCUCCAGCCCCCCUCUCUCAUUUACCCAAAUAGAAAAGCCCUCAUCUCUCAUUUGGUACACAAAAUAGAAAAACCCUCAUCUCUCAUUUACCCAAAUCCACUGGUCCUAACUCUGUUGUCGGAAGAGCCUUUGUGGUUCACGAGCUUCAGGAUGACCUCGGAUAGGGUGGGCAUGAGCUUAGUCUGACCACUGGUAACGCAUGCGGGAGACCGGUGUGGUUGGUCUGACCCCGCUCUAAGUCUGGGAAGUAACGUACUCUGCUGUCUACUGUAUUGUGUUUCGUCAAAUAAUGUUUGGCUCAAUAAACUUUUGAUGUUUAUAUUCAUAGCAUCAAAAAAACUCUCUCUUUCUCUUUGGAUUUGUACCCUUUAUAAAAUUGCUUGUUACUCUUUUGGACCAAAUCUCCAUUCCAUCGUUUUUAUAACAUUGUUUUGGUA